GCUAAAUCCUAUCAGAGGAGUUCAGCUACCCUCUCUGGAGGCUUCCCUGUUUCUGGGGGCAGUUUAGGAUCUUCUCCCAGGCAGGAGUCCUUUAUGAAGGUUAUUCCUUUAUUCCAUUUAUUAUGGAUUUUUAAAAACUGCUGUUUCCCAGUCAGAAAAUGUGACUUGGGCCAUUUUAUACUCUUGGGAACAUACGGAGAUUUUCCUGGCAGCAUAUGCUAUCAUCUGCUUUUGAAUCCUUGAUUUGAUCUAUCUCAUAGUCAGCUGAAAAAACAUCUUACAGCAGUUUCCGGGAAGAAUAAGAAAGUGUCGUGCUUUCUAAACCACCAAAUUUCUGCAAGUGUCUUUUUACGGCUUCAUAGAUGAACGACAAUUUAGCUGAACAUCGAAUUCUUGGGUCAUCACCCUUCUUCAUUUAAACGUCUAGAGAUGGUGGUUCUGCUUUGGAGUGAAACCUGAGGUGAGUGGAUGUUUCUUCCUUUGUAGGUACUCUGUUCUUCUGUUGAAAUGCUUGCAGGAAUUUUUUUUUAAGUCCUCUAAAUCAUAUCAUGUUCUUUUAUUUUUUUAAAGCACCCAAGGACACCUCAGAGGAGGGGAGACACCUCGUGGAGAGAUGAGGGAGGUGCGGAUGGAAACUGGCUUCUGGGGAGGGUUCUCCAUGGAGAUACAGAGAGGACUGUGCUUUCCAUGGCUAAACCUCUGCAAAGAGAAAAGGGGAAGGGAAACAUCACCCAGCCUCUUGCAAGGCUCAACUCAAAAUGUGCUGGAUCGAAAAACUGAGAACAUCUGGCAUAGAGCUUCUCCUUGACUUUUUUCCUUUUCUUUUUAUAAGAGCUUUAUUGAGGUAUAAUUGAUGUAAAAUAAACUGCACUAUUUCAAUAUGUACA
rnacentral:lncRNA from 1 species